AACGAACGCUGGCGGCAUGCCUAACACAUGCAAGUCGAACGAGACCUUCGGGUCUAGUGGCGCACGGGUGCGUAACGCGUGGGAACCUGCCCUUAGGUUCGGAAUAACUCCCCGAAAGGGGUGCUAAUACCGGAUAAUGUCUUCGGACCAAAGAUUUAUCGCCUUUGGAUGGGCCCGCGUUGGAUUAGCUAGUUGGUAGGGUAAAAGCCUACCAAGGCGACGAUCCAUAGCUGGUCUGAGAGGAUGUUCAGCCACACUGGGACUGAGACACGGCCCAGACUCCUACGGGAGGCAGCAGUGGGGAAUAUUGGACAAUGGGCGAAAGCCUGAUCCAGCAAUGCCGCGUGAGUGAUGAAGGCCUUAGGGUUGUAAAGCUCUUUUACCCGGGAUGAUAAUGACAGUACCGGGAGAAUAAGCUCCGGCUAACUCCGU
rnacentral:rRNA from 1 species